AAUGCCUGCAGAGACCUGGACCAGAGUGGGCAGAAUGGAGGGCAGGUCCAGGAACUUCACUCUUCCACUACGGUCUUCAGGCUGAGCAAAAAGGGAGUAGGAUCAGCUGGCAUUGCCCAGGUCACAGUGAUGGCUGGAUGGUGUCACAGCUCCAAAGUCCUAGGCUCCUUCUUGCUCUGCCACCUUCCUUUAGCCACUGCCACUCUGUCCUGCCCUCCCUCCAUUCUCCUUCUCACUCACCUUUUCAGGACUCUGCAGUACGUUCUCUUCAUGCUUUGUAUGCGUACUUUACUAAAAACUCCUAACUCAUCUUCCUGCUUUUCACAUAACCUCCUUGGAUCCAUGCUUCAUAC
rnacentral:lncRNA from 1 species